rnacentral:rRNA from 1 species
GAUGAACGCUGGCGGCGUGCCUAAUACAUGCAAGUCGAGCGAACAGACGAGGAGCUUGCUCCUCUGACGUUAGCGGCGGACGGGUGAGUAACACGUGGAUAACCUACCUAUAAGACUGGGAUAACUUCGGGAAGCCGGAGCUAAUACCGGAUAAUAUAUUGAACCGCAUGGUUCAAUAGUGAAAGACGGUUUUGCUGUCACUUAUACAUGGAUCCGCGCCGCAUUAGCUAGUUGGUUAGGUAACGGCUUACCAAGGCAACGAUGCGUAGCCGACCUGAGAGGGUGAUCGGCCACACUGGAACUGAGACACGGUCCAGACUCCUACGGGAGGCAGCAGUAGGGAAUCUUGCGCAAUGGGCGAAAGCUUGACGGAGCAACGCCGCGUGAGUGAUGAAGGUCUUCGGAUCGUAAAGCUCUGUUAUUAGGGAAGAACAAAUGUGUAAGUAACUAUGCACGGCUUGACGGUACCUAAUCAGAAAGCCACGGCUAACUACGUG